GACGUAGGGCGCGAGCGUUGUCCGGAUUUAUUGGGCGUAAAGAGCUCGUAGGCGGCUUGUUGCGUCUGCUGUGAAAACCCGCGGCUUAACCGUGGGCUUGCAGCCGAUACGGGCAGGCUAGAGUUCGGUAGGGGAGACUGGAAUUCCUGGUGUAGCGGUGAAAUGCGCAGAUAUCAGGAGGAACACCGGUGGCGAAGGCGGGUCUCUGGGCCGAUACUGACGCUGAGGAACGAAAGCGUGGGGAGCGAACAGG
rnacentral:rRNA from 1 species